UAGUGGCGAACGGGUGAGUAACACGUGGGCAAUCUGCCCUUCACUCUGGGACAAGCCCUGGAAACGGGGUCUAAUACCGGAUACGACCACCGACCGCAUGGUCUGGUGGUGGAAAGCUCCGGCGGUGAAGGAUGAGCCCGCGGCCUAUCAGCUUGUUGGUGGGGUGAUGGCCUACCAAGGCGACGACGGGUAGCCGGCCUGAGAGGGCGACCGGCCACACUGGGACUGAGACACGGCCCAGACUCCUACGGGAGGCAGCAGUGGGGAAUAUUGCACAAUGGGCGAAAGCCUGAUGCAGCGACGCCGCGUGAGGGAUGACGGCCUUCGGGUUGUAAACCUCUUUCAGCAGGGAAGAAGCGAGAGUGACGGUACCUGCAGAAGAAGCGCCGGCUAACUACGUGCCAGCAGCCGCGGUAAUACGUAGGGCGCAAGCGUUGUCCGGAAUUAUUGGGCGUAAAGAGCUCGUAGGCGGCUUGUCACGUCGGAUGUGAAAGCCCGGGGCUUAACCCCGGGUCUGCAUUCGAUACGGGCAGGCUAGAGUUCGGUA
rnacentral:rRNA from 1 species